rnacentral:tRNA from 2 species
AUUAUUAUAGUUUAAAUAAAAUAUUAAAUUGCAAAUUUAAAGAUUAAUUUUUAUAAUUAUAAUAAUU